UGAGGGUUUGAUCCUGGCCCAGGAUUAACGCUGGCGGCAUGCCUAAUGCAUGCAAGUAGAACGAGUUGUAGCAAUACAACUAGUUGCGAACGGCUGAGUAAUGGAUAGGAAUUUCCCCAAUGGUGUGGAAUACCUCAUCGAAAGAUGAGCUAAUACCGCAUGACCUCGAAAGAGAAAAGCGCUUAACUGCGCGCCGAUGGAUGAGCCUAUCUCCCAUCAGGCUGUUGGUAGGGUAAUGGCCUACCAAACCUAUGACGGGUAGGGGGCGUGAGAGCGCGUUCCCCCAGAAUGGGACUGAGACCAAAACUGAUCUCCUGCAGAAGCAAUUCUGCAGUAAAAUUUGGCUAAUAACGGUGGAGCCCUACUUGACUUUCGGAUAAACUUCGGUUUAUUGUUAGUUAAGGGGUAAUACCGUGGGAAGUCGACUAAGUGUAACCAAACAAAAUGUGUUCGCCUAUAUUGCUGGAUUUCUCGAUGCUGAUGGUUAUAUAACUAUCAAAAUUGAGAAAAGUAAAACCAACAGGUUAGGUGAAAGAGGAAGGGUUCGGGUUGGAUUUGCUCAAAACAAAUCAAGAAUUUUUGUUCUUGAUAAGCUUUGUAAAUUCAUAAAAUCCGGAGUUGUAUCUGAAUAUAAUCAUAACAAUAUGGCUGAGUAUGUAGUUAACGAUCAGAAAGUGAUUUUUGAAUUGUUAACGAAACUCAAACCAUUUGUUAUUGUUAAAAAGAAACAAUUAAGACUCGCUUUAGAGUUUUUGCUUCUUAAAGAGUUUGGUUAUUCGAUAAAAUCUUUGAGAAAGAUGAAAAAUUUAGAGGUUAAAAUGUCUAAAUUUAAUAGUUAUCCAAAGAUGUCUGACCCCGUAACGACUGAAGCUUAAGUGCUGAGAUAUAAGUUUAAUACACUUAUAUAAGAUGCCAACUCCUAUAUUACCCCUUUGGGUGGUGUAGGUUGAAGAUAUAGUCUGCGCCAUUAGUAAUAAUGGAAUAAGUGACGGCCCAUACACCUACGGGUGGCAGCAACAGGGAAUCGUACGCAAUGGACGAAAGUCUGACGUCGCAAUGCCGCGUGGAGGAUGAAGGCCUUCGGGUCGUAAACUCCUUUUACAGUAAUAGAGAUGUUAUUGAGAAUAAGCACCUGCUAACUCUGUGCCAGCAGCAGCGGUAAUACAGAGGGUGCAAGCGUUAUCCGGAUUUAUUGGGCGUAAAGCGUUUCGUAGGUUUCUAGAUAAGUUACUCUUCAAAGACCACGGCUCAACCGGGGGAAGGGGAGUAAUACUAUCUGGAUUGAAAUAUGGUGGGGCUUCCGGAACUGAUGGUGUAGUAGUGAAAUACGUUGAUAUCAUCAGGAACUCCGAGGGCGAAGGCAGGAAGCUAACUAUUUUUUGACACUGAUGAACGACAGCUAGGGGAGCGAAAGGGAUUAGAGACCCCUGUAGUCCUAGCCGUAAACUUUGCUCGCUAGGGAUGGGGCCGUAAGGCUUCGUCCCGUAAGCUAACGCGUUAAGCGAGCCGCCUGGGGAGUACGGCCGCAAGGCUAAAACUCAAAGGAAUUGACGGGGACCCGCACAACCAGUGGAGCAUGUGGUUUAAUUCGAGACGAAACGAAAGACCUCACCCAGCCUUGACAUAAUACCGUUUUAAGCACCCAGAAAUGGGAGCCUAUCUUUAGAAAUAUUGAUGGUACUACAGGUGUUGCAUGGCCGUCGUCAGCUCGUGCCGUAGGGUGUUCCCUUCAGUGGGGUAACGAGCGCAACCCUUGUCCUGAGUUGAAUAUUCUCAGGAGACUCUUUGAAUUUAUUUCAGAGGGAAGUGAGGACGACGUCAGGUCAGCAUGGCCCUUAUAGCUGGGGCAACACACAUACUACAAUGGAGCCGACAGAGGGUUGCCAAGUGGCAACACGGAGCUAAUCCCAAAAACGGCUUCUCAGUGGGGAUUGGGGGCUGCAACUCGCCCCCAUGAACUUGGAAUUGGUAGUAAUCGCGGAUCAGCAUGCCGCGGUGAAUACGUUCUCGGGUCUUGUACACACCGCCGUAAUUUAAUUAACGCGCGUGGCAGUUAAGUUUUCCAGUAGGUUAAAAUCCUACCCCUUAGGAUACAUACAUAUCUGAUAGGGUAGCCAAAAAAUUGACAGUCCUAAUCGGGUAACUGAAUAGGGCGGAGGGUCUGAGGCAAAAAGCAGGGAUGAUUCAAAAAGGCAGACGACUUUUGCAGGGCGGUCCUAAGGAAGUCAAAAAAAACGCUUUUCAUUCAUGUUUGGAACGGAAAAUUUAAUAACCCACGGAGAUCCUAUUAAGACAGAGGUUAUUGCUUAUUAGGAAGUCAGCUUUUCCAUAGUAAAUAUUGACAUAUUCGGGUUUAGUUUGUAUUCUGAAUAUUGAAUAUAUUGAAGGGGAAUCCGUAAUGUUAUCAGCUUUGUAUAUAGUAGGCUUUGUUGAAGGGGAAGGAUGUUUCUUAGUUAGUUUGAGACGUGAUAAUCGAAUUGAUCUUCGAUUUUUCAUUACUCAGGCCAUUGGAAACAAAGAUCUUCUUUACAAAGUUAAAAAGUAUUUUGGAGUUGGUAGUGUAUAUCAGAAAUCUUCCUCGGAAGGGAAGUUACCAGCCUAUGUGUUUGAAGUAUCAAAAAGAGAUGAUAUUUAUAAUGUCAUCAUUCCAUUUUUUACAGAACACAAACUGUUAGGAUAUAAAGCAAUAAGCUUUGAAACUUUUUGCAAAAUAGCCAAAAUUGUAAAAGGCAGGCAGGAUAUACGCAAACUUAAUUCUAAAGAACUUUCUUACAUAACAAAGUUGAGAUUCGGAAUGAAUAAACAUUAUGGCUCGCCCGGUGCGGUAAAGUCCGCUCGCCGGGUGGGAACGCGCUACAACCUCAAGUAAAGCGCAAUCCGUCAAGUGAGUAAAGUUGUAUAUACCUUAAAUCCCGUUGUACGGGAUCAAGGUAGAGACAGCGAUAAGCACUAAGUCGUAACAAGGUAUCCGUACUGGAAGGUGCGGAUGGAUCACCUCCUU
rnacentral:rRNA from 3 species